ensembl:lncRNA
CCUUCUAACUGUUAAGUCCUCUUUGCUUAACAAAUAAAAACAAAAUGCAUUUGGAAAGACAGAGGCUAUAUGGCAGGGGCUGGGUUUCUGAGUUAAUAUUCCAGUGAUAACAGUAACAAUAAAUAGACAGCGACCGGACAUGCGGUCCUGCACUGGGUUUAUAUGGAUGUCAUUUCAUUCAGUGCUUCCCAGGAGGAAAUGAGAAUGGAAGGGAUGUUAGCUGACUUGUUCAGAGACACAGUUGAGCACAGGCUCCAGGGCAUGAGGGCUCAGCAGUUGUGGCAUAUGAGUCUAGUUACCCCAUGGCAUGUGGAAUCUUCCCAGACCACGGAUCAAACCCAUGUCCCCUGCUUUGGCAGGUGGAUUCUUAACCACUGGAACACCAGCCUUAAAGAAGAAAUCUUCCAGAUUCGAUGUUUGUCAACAGUUUGGUUAUUUGGAUAACCCUUGGCCCCAGUGUGGGUCCCACUGAAGCUGAAUACGCACAACUCCUGGAUCAAUUUCUAACAUGAAGCAGGUUUUCAUCUCACCUGGAAGUGCUGGGCAGAGGGGAUUUUUCUCUCUCCAUUCCCUGAUUCUUUUAUACUCUUAAGGUAUUUAAC